rnacentral:lncRNA from 1 species
AUAUUUAUUUGUGCUUGGUUAAUGGAUGUAAUUUUGUUCUAAAGGUAUUUUUGAGAAAAAUACAUUUAAAAGCACUUUAAAAACUUAGUUAAAUAGUAAUAGUUGCUCUAAAGUGGUUUCUAAAUUUAUUAGUUAAACACAAACUUUUUCCCGCCAAAAGAUAAGACAUCAAAGUGAUUUUAUAAAACUAAACUCAUUAAAGUAAACUACACGCGCGGAGCGCGUAUACGAAGACUAGUAGUUAUUUGAAAUGUGACGUAGUUACUUGAAAAUGGUUUAAGUAAGUGACUUGAAAUGUGAAUUAAUUAUUUGAAAAUGGUUAAGCGCAGUGACUUGCAAUGCGAAUUAGUUAUUUGAAAAUGGUUAAGUGUAGCGACUUGAAAGGUCUACUAGCUAUUUGAAAAUAGUUAAAUGUAGUGACUUGAAAUGUGUACUAGUGACUUGAAAAUGGUUAAGUAUCGUGACUUGAAAUGUCAAUUAGUUAUUUGAAAAUGGUUUUGAGUGUAGUGACUUGAAAUUGAUUUAGUGUAGAUAGUUGAAAUGAGAUUUUUUGUGUUGAAUGUAGUUUUGUGUGAUGACUUGGGAGGUGACUUAGUCACUUGAAAUUGAUUAAGUGUGGGUAUUUGAAAGGUGAAUUUAUCAUUUUGAAGGUAGUUUAGUUUGUUUUUUUGGGAGGUGACUUAGUGACUUGAAAUUGAUUAAGUGUAGAUAGUUGAAAUGUGAAUUUUUGUUUUGAAUGUGGUUUAGCUUGGUAACAUGUGAGAUGACUUAGUCACUUGAAAUUGACUAAGUGUAGGUAGUUGAAACGUGAAGUUUUGUUUUGAAUGUAGUUUAGUUUGGUAACAUGUUUGAUGACUUAGAGACUUGAAAUUGAUCAAGUGUAGGUACUUGAAAGGUGAAUUUAUCAUUUUGAAGGUAGUUUAGUUUGUUUUUUUGGGACCACAACCACCUCUGCAGCCUGCAGCAUCUGAAGACGAGCAAUUCUUUAGCAGGACCGACAUCUAUGCAGGUGCUGCAUUGGGCUUUGCAGUGAGUGUGUCAAUGAUAUUUAUACCGCUCUUGGUUUCUAGAAGAUGGAGAAAAUGUUACAACAAGAUGGUUGAUGUACUGGUUCUCAGGGUGUUUAGCAAUGUUGAUAUAAAGAAACGACGUGCUAAUACUAGCAUCAGUGAAAUAUAUCGGUAAAAGAAAGCAGGGAAAUACCACCGCCAAGUUCAAAGAUCGCGCAGAUGAUUGAAGGCUUUCAGUUCUUAUUUCUAUAAGACACCAUAUCGUUACUUGUAGCUGAAUGUCAGCAUUUGCAUGGAUCGAGUGUGUUCGUACCCACCUGUCUUUUUGUUGUAAUUUAAGGUGUAUUACUGCACUAACUUUGUACCAAAUGCAUGUUUUCUAAACUUCGUUUGUAUGGUAGUUACGCUUUUCCUGAAAUCCAGUGUGCACCGGUUGUUUCAUUUUUUACCUGAACUAUCAUAAUUUACAUAUUAAACACACCUAGUAGAGUAGAUAGUGAUAAUCUAGAUAGGAAAAGGGAAACUGAUAGUUGGUCUAAUCAGCUUCGAAGUGUGUUUUAGACAUAGAUGUUGAUAGUUCGGAUAGGAAAAAGAAACACCCUGUUAGUUGAGGCGUGAAGCUCACGCAAAAAUGAUAGCUCAGGUGUGUUACUUUAUAGUUAAUAACAAUCUUAUUGCUUACGUAAUAUAACUAAUUAAUGUGGAUCCCAACACCACCUUAAAAGGAUUACACUACUAAUUAAUUUAUAUAAUAGUAUUCUCAUCAUCUGAAUCUUCUGCAAAACAAAUCCUUGAAAGGCUGCAGAGGUGGUUGUGGUUUUUUAAAAAUUAAUUAAUUAAUUAAUUAUAAAAUCCAACCACUUGUGGUUGGUUUUUGAAAAAGAUUUUCAGAAAAUCGAAGAUUUUCAGAAAACUGACCAUAAGUGGUUGAUUUUCUGGGAAUAUUUUUAAAAAUCGACCACGUAAAAAUUAAAUAAUUAAUUUAAAUAAAAAUAUCGAUCACAUGUGAUCGAUUUUUUUAAAAUUAAUUAAUUAUAUUAAUUUAAAAACCGAUCACACAUAGUUG